rnacentral:rRNA from 1 species
GACAGAGGCCCCAAGCGUUAGGCGGAAUCACUGGGCUUAAAGCGUGUGUAGGCGGAUCGUUAAGUGUCUUGUGAAAUCCCACGGCUCACCCGUGGAACUGCUGGGCAUACUGGCGAUCUUGGGCCAACUAGGGGCAGCCGGAACAAGCGGUGGAGCGGUGAAAUGCGUAGAUAUCGCUUGGAACGCCGAAGGUGAAAACAGGCUGCUGGGGUUGUGCCGACGCUGGAGACACGAAAGCCAGGGGAGCAAACGGG